UACGAAGGGGGCUAGUGUUGCUCGGAAUUACUGGGCGUAAAGGGCGCGUAGGCGGAUAUCUAAGUUGGGGGUGAAAUCCCGGGGCUCAACCUCGGAAUUGCCUUCAAAACUGGAUAUCUUGAGUUCGGGAGAGGUGAGUGGAACUCCGAGUGUAGAGGUGAAAUUCGUAGAUAUUAGGAAGAACACCAGUGGCGAAGGCGGCUCACUGGCCCGGUACUGACGCUGAGGCGCGAAAGCGUGGGGAGCAAACAGG
rnacentral:rRNA from 1 species